GGAGCGGUUGUUCAGUUGGGUAGAAUACCUGCCUGUCACGCAGGGGGUCGCGGGUGCGAGUCCCGGCCGUUCCGCCA
rnacentral:tRNA from 1 species